UGCGGUUGCCAAGGGAACCCUGGCUUUGUCCAAGGAGGCUGCGAAUGGCUGCGUCUCCCACAGCCUGUCUCCUCUGCUCCGGAGAGCCCAGAUCUCCAUGCAGGGUCAAAAGCAAAGGCAGGGGAAAUGCUGCGUGUGCUUGGUGACAAACACAUCGUUCUCAAAGAAUUAAAGAAUGCAUGUGGUGUGUGUAUGAACAUCUGCAGGCAGAAAUAGGAAGCGGCUGCUCAUAACUGAAGCUGCAAAACUUCUGUGAAAGCAUCCACAGGCCAACAUGGCAGCUCCACAUGUGACGUCAUCAGGCCACUAAAGGGAAUGAGAAGGUGCCACAGAGACGGACAGAAGAGAAUAGAAAAGAUAACAGCAAACAGCUACAGAGUUGGUGGCUGGACUUGGCGUUUUUCUGGAAGAUCUGGAAGUCUGAAACCCAGGAGUUUGCAAGGCUGGUACUUGAUGGAGAAUGGGAAAGGGUCCCUGUCCCAUAUUUCUCUCUGGUGUCUGCUGGCUGCUGACAAUCCUAGCACCCCUUUGAUCUGUACCCUCAACAUUCCAGCAUCCCUACAUCUGCACUGUGGCCUUCUCUGUGCCAAAGCUUUCUCUUCUUUCCCUUGCAAAUACAACUGCUAAGGCCCACACUUAGCCCAGGAUGACCUCAUCCAGAGACUCUUGGCUUUAGAACAUUGGGAAGAUCCUAUUUCUAAGUGAGUUCAUGUUCACACAUAUUUGGGUUUAGUAUGUGAACAUCUUCUUUUGGAGAGAAACACAGUUCAACCUACUAUGAAGACUCAACGAAUGCCAUUGGGAAAAGCAUGGGCUACUGCUACAACCAAGGAUAGUCACUGCCAGCGGAAGAUGAGGCAACAGCAAUGCAAUCUUAGAGCUUAUUUUAGAGGACAAUGGUCUCAUAGAAAGUCUGUUUGUGUUGGACAUAGAGGUACUAAGAAUGAAGGACUCCAACCCUGGCAUUUGAAUGUCUGAGAACUCCUGAGAUAUCCUCCUGAUAGUCUACUCCGCCCACUAACAUCUGUGGAUCCCAGUAGGAAAGACUUUUGUAUGCUGGCUGGUAUUUCAAAUGCUGCAGCUCCUAGCCUGCAGUUCAUGGAGUUGCCCAACAUAGCUCCCCAAAAAGAACUCCCAAAAAGUCCAACAAAACAGACAAAAGCAAGCUAACCCUACCUUGUCCCUCUUUGUUCUUCAAAGUCCUAUGUGGUCUUGUCUUUCUGGGAAUCCCACCUGCUGUGAGUUCUCAAUAAACUUUCACUGGUAAAUAUUGUCUGCUUCAACAUCCAAAUGCAUUCUGGGUAGAUGAUUAAAACCCAUCCCUAGGUCAACUUGACAAAAAGAAAGAAUCCUGGGAGUAAGAAAACAUGAGUAAUUGGUGUGAGUGGGGCAUGUGGAGUACAAGUGAGGUAGUAGAGAUGGAAUUCCAUACUCAGGAUGGAGGACAGAUAUUGGAGAGAACACAGAUG